UGUCGUAAGGGAAAAUAAUGAUAAUACCUUACUANUAGUGUCGUCCAAAUCUGGUGCCAGAAGACUCGGUAAGACCAGAGACGCAAACGUUAAUCAUCAUAAUCAGGCGUAAAGGGUUUGUAGGCAGCUUUCAAAUUAAAAAUAUGAUACCNUAUAAAGUAUAUAAUUGAAAGCUAGAAUCAAAAAGAGGUUAUAGUGUAGAACGCCUAGAGGAGGGCUGAUAUCCUUAGAUCCUAGGCAGAAUCUCAGGGCGAAGGCCACUCUCCACUAAUGAUUGACGCUGAGAAACGAAGGUUAGGGUAGGAAAUAGGAUUAGAUACCCCGGUACUCCUUUCUGUAAACGAUGAAUGGUAGUCAUUAGUUUUAUUUCAAACUAGAGACGAAGUUAACACAAUAACCAUUCCGCCUUGUGAUACUACU
rnacentral:rRNA from 1 species